AUUGAACGCUGGCGGCAGGCCUAACACAUGCAAGUCGAACGCGUGGCGCACGGGUGCGUUAUGUCUGGGACACUGCCUUAUGGAGGGGGAUAACUACUGGACACGAUCUCUAAUCCCGCAUACCCUGAGAUGUGCCCAGAGGGGAUUAGCUUGUUGGUGGGGUAACGGCUCCCAAAGGCGACGCUCCCUCGCUGGUCUGAGAGGAUGACCAGCCAGACGGGAACUGAGACACGGGCCAGACUCCUACGGGAGGCAGCAGUGGGGAAUAUUGCACAAUGGGCGCAAGCCUGAUGCAGCCAUGCCGCGUGUAUGAAGAAGGCCUUCGGGUUGUAAAGUACUUUCAGCGGGGAGGCGUUACCCGCAGAAGAAGCACCGGCUAACUCCGUGCCAGCAGCCGCGGUAAUAC
rnacentral:rRNA from 1 species